GGCGGGUUCUGGACAGACCUACGCUGUCGGGGAGUGUUUACUUCGCCUCCACUUCUGUUCCUCCCCGCCCUGGUGCUGCUCCAGGUCACAUACUCUUCCUGAGCCGGCUUCAGCCUCUCCGCGCAGAAGUCUCCCGGAGCCAUGGCCUAGUAUUCUUAUGUGAAGUCUACCAAGCUUGUGCUCAAGGGAACCGAGAUUUGCCUGAGGUUGACUGUACAUGCAAAUAUUGAGCUUUCCUCCUGGCCUCCGUGAUAAACAGAAGUUUUGAUAUUGUUAGGCGAGAUGGAAAGAAAGUAUCAAGGAGUGAGCUGAAGCCACUGCCCUUGAGAACCCUCUCGAGGAGUCUGGCCUCAUGAAGAUGCCAGAAUAAAUGGCAGUAAGAAGAAAAAGAGCAAAGAUAAGAAGAGAAAAAGAGAAGAUGAAGAAACCCAGCUUGAUAUGUUGGAAUCUGGUGAACAGUAACAAACUUUGGUGAAAUUUCAGGAACCAUAGCCAUUGAAGUGGAUGAGGGAACCUAUAUACAUGCACUCAACAAUGGUCUUUUUACCCUGGGAGCUCCACACAAAGAAGAAUCGCCCUGAAACCUGGCUAUGGAAAAUAUCUUAGUAUAAAUUCAGAUGAACUUGUUGUUGGCGUUCAGAUGCAAUUGGACCAAGAGAACAAUGGGAACCAGUCUUUCAAAAUCAAGAGGUCAGAAAUGGUGGGCCAGCUGAGAUGGGAGAAGAAAAGAGAAAUGGCACAAAGUGGAGAGAAGACACCGACCAUACCUCCUUUCCUCUCUUUCCCACCACAGGUGGACAGCCCAAAGCACACUCCAACUGGAGGAAGGUUUGCCAUUAAAGAUAAGCUGCUGCUGAUGAUCUUCAAGCAGAUCCUGAGGCAAAGAUGUAAAUUUCCAACCUUACCUUGAACUACGGUCAACAUUUUCCUGGAAGUCUUAAGUUAAAGCCAGGACUGCUUCUUCCAGAGUUUUACUAAACAGUAGUGAUAUUCAACGUCAAAGUUACAGACGUAUUGGGUUGAAAUUAAUUCUGCUUAUCUGAUGUUAUCUACCACCUUGGGGGUAAUACAGGUCUCUCUCCCUACCCCCACCCCUACCCCCACACCAACCCACACGAAUGACUUUCACUCGGAGUAUAAUCAGAACUUUUGCUGCCCUCACAAAUAAGGAAUAGUGAAGAGAUUAUGAGGCUUGAGCCAGAUUAUCUGGUACCAAUAUUGACUAAUUUAUUCUGUGUGACCUUGGGCAAUUACUUAACGUCUCAUCAUCAUAUUUUUCUGUAAAUACAAUGUCAAUAAUAGUGCCUGCCUCAAAUACUUCUGAAGGUUUGUAUGACAAUCAAACAACAUACUAUAUAACAUAGUGGUCCCCAACCUUUUUGGCACCAUGGACCGGUUUCAUGGAAGACAAUUUUUCCACAGACUCGGGGAGGGGGAUGAUUUGGGGAUGAUUCGAGAACAUUCCAUUUAUUGUGCACUUUAUUUCUAUUAUUAUUAUGUUGUAAUAUAUACUGAAAUAAUUAUACAACACACCAUAAUGUAGAAUCAGUGGGAGCCCUGAGCUUGUUUUCCUGAAACUAGAUGGUUCCCAUCUGGAGAUGAUGGGAGACAGUGACAGAUCAUCAGGCAUUAGAUUCUCAUAAGGAGCAUGCAACCUAGACUCCUCACAUGCACAGUUCACAGUAGGAUUUGCUCUCCUAUGAGAAUCUAAUCCUGCCACCGAUCUGACAGGAGGUGGCACUCAUGCAGUAAUGCUCACUCACCUGCUAUGUGGCCUGGGGUUGGGGAUCUCUGCUGUAAUAGAGUUCACUUGUAAAUAAAAAUGCUUUCCUGAGCACACAAAA
ensembl:lncRNA novel transcript